rnacentral:rRNA from 1 species
GACGAACGCUGGCGGCGUGCUUAACACGUGCAAGUCGAACGGAAAGGCCCUGCUUUUGUGGGGUGCUCGAGUGGCGAACGGGUGAGUAACACGUGAGUAACCUGCCCUUGACUUUGGGAUAACUUCAGGAAACUGGGGCUAAUACCGGAUAGGAGCUCCUGCUGCAUGGUGGGGGUUGGAAAGUUUCGGCGGUUGGGGAUGGACUCGCGGCUUAUCAGCUUGUUGGUGGGGUAGUGGCUUACCAAGGCUUUGACGGGUAGCCGGCCUGAGAGGGUGACCGGCCACAUUGGGACUGAGAGACGGCCCAGACUCCUACGGGAGGCAGCAGUGGGGAAUAUUGCACAAUGGGCGGAAGCCUGAUACAGCAACGCCGCGUGCGGGAUGACGGCCUUCGGGUUGUAAACCGCUUUCGCCUGUGACGAAGCGUGAGUGACGGUAAUGGGUAAAGAAGCACCGGCUAACUACGUG